rnacentral:misc_RNA from 1 species
GUGGGGAACACACCAGUCCCUCCUCCAACUCUUCCCCGUCCAAACCUCACAGUAAGUGACCACUUCAUCAGACGUUCACUAUUAUCCAUUACAAGACAUGUAAAUAGCAGACAUUCUAUAGUCCCCAGCACUGGCUGAAUGGAUCCGACAGCCAACACAGUGAUAGCUACUCCUUCUCAGAUUGACAUUUAUUACAACCACUGAUAUUAUAUUCCGCAACUCGACCUAUACUGUGAACGUUCCUGUGAACUUUGAACUCAAGUCACAUGACUAAAAACACUUCCCCAUUGGGCAGAUAUCUUGAUCAGGAGAUCCGUGUGCUAACUUAUUUUGUGGAGUCCUUUAUUGUUUUGAGCUGUUGUCUCUAGUCAUGUAUUUCUCUCUUUAUCAAACUGUUAUUUAUUUGUUUAUAUGUACAAGAUAUUCUGUUGCCAUAAAUCAUCCUCUGCAAUAAUUCUUAAUGUUUGACAAACUUGAAUAUUGUGGUGGCCUAACCUUU